rnacentral:rRNA from 1 species
AAGUCUCCGCAAGGGGACGAGUAAAGUGGCGAACGGGUGAGUAACGCGUGGGUAAUCUGCCCUCCAGCGCGGGAUAACUGCGCGAAAGCGGGGCUAAUACCGCAUGACGUCCUGGAGGCACAUGCCUGCAGGACCAAAGGUGGCCUCUGAUUCAAGCUGCCACUGGAGGAUGAGCCUGCGUCUGAUUAGCCAGUUGGUAGGGUAACGGCCUACCAAGGCGACGACGGGUAGGGGACCUGAGAGGGUGACCCCCCACAAUGGAACUGAAAUACGGUCCAUACACCUACGGGUGGCAGCAGUAGGGAAUAUUGCACAAUGGGCGAAAGCCUGAUGCAGCAACGCCGCGUGCACGAUGAAGGUCUUCGGAUCGUAAAGUGCUUCUCUGGGAGAUGAGAAAGGACAGUAUCCCAGGAAUAAGUCUCGGCUAACUACGUGCCAGCAGCCGCGGUAAAACGUAGGAGGCAAGCGUUAUCCGGAUUCACUGGGCGUAAAGCGUGUGCAGGCGGUUCGGUAAGUUGGGCGUGAAAUCUCCCGGCUUAACUGGGAGAGGUCGUUCAAUACUACCGGACUAGAGAGCAGUAGAGGAAGAUGGAAUUCCCGGUGUAGUGGUGAAAUGCGUAGAUAUCGGGAGGAACACCAGUGGCGAAGGCGAUCUUCUGGACUGCGUCUGACGCUCAUACACGAAAGCUAGGGUAGUAAACGGGAUUAGAGACCCCGGUAAUCCUAGCUGUAAACGAUGUGAACUUGGCGUUGGUGGCUUAAACACCAUCAGUGCCGAAGCAAACGCGAUAAGUUCACCGC